CCUACGGGUGGCUGCAGUGGGGAAUAUUGGACAAUGGGGGGAACCCUGAUCCAGCCAUGCCGCGUGUGUGAAGAAGGCCCUCGGGUUGUAAAGCACUUUCAGUGAGGAAGAACGCCUGGUGGUUAAUACCCAUCAGGAAAGACAUCACUCACAGAAGAAGCACCGGCUAACUCCGUGCCAGCAGCCGCGGUAAUACGGAGGGUGCGAGCGUUAAUCGGAAUUACUGGGCGUAAAGCGCGCGUAGGUGGCUUGAUAAGCCGGUUGUGAAAGCCCCGGGCUCAACCUGGGAACGGCAUCCGGAACUGUCAAGCUAGAGUGCAGGAGAGGGAGGUAGAAUUCCCGGUGUAGCGGUGAAAUGCGUAGAGAUCGGGAGGAAUACCAGUGGCGAAGGCGGCCUUCUGGACUGACACUGACACUGAGGUGCGAAAGCGUGGGUAGCAAACAGGAUUAGAUACCCUUGUAGUC
rnacentral:rRNA from 1 species